CCUACGGGGGGCAGCAGUGGGGAAUAUUGCGCAAUGGGCGAAAGCCUGACGCAGCGACGCCGCGUGAGGGAUGAAGGUCUUCGGAUCGGAAACCUCUGUCAGCAGGGAAGAACGGUCACUGUGCUAAGCAGCAGUGAAUGGACGGUACCAGCAAAGGAAGCACCGGCUAACUCCGGGCCAGCAGCCGCGGUAAUACGGAGGGGGCGAGCGUUAAUCGGAAUUACUGGGCGUAACCCGCUCGUAGGCGGUAUGUCAAGUCAAGGGUGAAAUCCCCGCGCUCAACGUGGGAACUGCCUUUGAAACUGGCAAACUGGAGUGUGUGCGAGGCUAGUGGAAUUCCAGGUGU
rnacentral:rRNA from 1 species